UUGUGACCCAUGCAAGCACGGCCCCAAAAGGGAAGGCUGGGCUCAGGCGGUGUGUCAGUGCAACCUGACAACGGCAGGAGAAGAAUCAGAGGAGGAAUAUCCAGAGGAGACUGCGGUGUUCCUCAACCUGACCAACGGGUGGAGAAGGCAGACAGGAGCAGGACUCACGCAGGGCUGAGCAGGGAGUAGUGGCCUCGUGGCUCUGGGCCUGUUCUGCCAACUCCUCACACACUCUGCUUUCUCCAGCAGAGAGAGAGGACAAACACCUGGAGCAGACCGUAGCAUUCCUGGACAGCGACUCACAGCUGACAGUUGCCAUGACUAACAGGAAGCAGGAAGGCCCUGGUGCCAGGGAGCCAGCAUGCAUGCUGUGUCGCCGUGUGGAGGCUGACCCGGACACCUGCGGUGACAAAGUGGAGAAGGGAGGGCUCUGUGCCCACGUCUUUUGCCUG